CGCCUUAUACUCCUACGGGAGGCAGCAGUGGGGAAUUUUGGACAAUGAGGGCAACCCUGAUCCAGCAAUGCCGCGUGAGUGAAGAAGGCCUUCGGGUUGUAAAGCUCUUUUGUCAGGGAAGAAACGGUAGUAGCUAAUAUCUAUUACUAAUGACGGUACCUGAAGAAUAAGCACCGGCUAACUACGUGCCAGCAGCCGCGGUAAUACGUAGGGUGCAAGCGUUAAUCGGAAUUACUGGGCGUAAAGCGUGCGCAGGCGGUUGUGUAAGUCAGAUGUGAAAUCCCCGGGCUCAACCUGGGAAUUGCAUGUGCGACUGCACGGCUAGGGUGUGUCAGAGGGCGGUAGAAUUCCACGUGUAGCAGUGAAAUGCGUAGAUAUGUGGAGCUAUACCGAUGGCGAAGGCAGCCCCCUGGGAUAACACUGACGCUCAUGCACGAAAGCGUGGGUAGCAAACAGGAUUAGAAACCCUAGUAGUCCACGUACCA
rnacentral:rRNA from 1 species